GCAGAUCCGUCGCGCGGCAAAGCGGGGCUUGCUUCCGAAUCAGACCGACCAAGAGGCGCGGACGCCGAGCGCCGCUGACGUCGAAGCCGGGAUCGGCUCACCGGCGACGCGGGGACAAUGCGCGUAGACUGCCGGACACCAGGAUCCUCCCUCCGGAAAUAUAUGAGAAUACAAACACAAUCUGAGUUAAGCAAACCCAGUAUUGUAAGUCCUCUCAUUUAUAAGCUGGCCAGAGUAGAUUGAGGUGUGAAAGGUACAUCGUCUUACAUAAAAACUGACAAGAUUUCGUCUACUACGAAGAAAUAGGCUGUGGCAAGCCACAAUACCAAACAAAAAUUUGCCGAGAUGCCCUAGCCAUCAUCCCCUUGUAGGCCAAAGUGGCCAUGUGACAGACUGACAACAUGGGAAGUACAGUAUUUUGUAAUGUUAAUACCACCGGCAUCUGAUUCUCCAUUUUAUGCAAAGUUGUCACUUGGCAGUAAUGCCGUAGAGAAAUAGAAGUUAUUCUGGAAAACAUGUACCAUAUGCCAAGCUACGUUAUGCUGCCCUUUUUCCUUAUAGUGAGAAAUUGCUUCUGGUCA